AUGUUGAAAUUGGUUAUUAUUGAGAACAUGGCAGAAAUUAUGCUAUUCUCAUUAGAUCUCUUGCUUUUCUCCACAGAUAUCCUUUGCUUUAAUUUUCCUUCUAAGAUGAUCAAACUUCCUGGUUUUAUUACCAUAUAAAUCUUCUUUUAUCCACAAGCCAGCUUUGGAAUUUCAGCAAACACCAUCCUUCUUCUUUUCCACAUCUUCACCUUUGUUUUCAGUCACAGGUCUAAGUCCAUUGACAUGAUAAUUAGUCACCUGUCUCUCAUCCACAUACUGCUGCUCUUCACCCAGGCAAUAUUGGUGUCCUUAGACUUCUUUGGUUCACAGAAUACUCAGGAUGAUCUUAGGUAUAAGGUCAUUGUCUUUUUAAACAAGGUGAUGAGGGGCCUCUCCAUCUGCACCCCCUGCCUCCUGAGUGUGCUCCAGGCCAUCAUCAGCCCCAGCAUCUUCUCCUUGGCAAAGCUCAAACAUCCUUCUGCAAGUCACAUCUUAGGAUUCUUCCUUUUCUCAUGGGUCCUCAACAUGUUCAUUGGUGUAAUCUUCUGCUGUACACUGCGGCUACCCCCAGUGAAACGGGGCCAGUCUUCUGUUUGUCAUACAGCACUGUUCCUUUUUGCCCAUGAGCUACACCCACAGGAGACUGUUUUUCACACUAAUGACUUUGAGGGAUGUCACCUUUAUAGGGUUCAUGGUCCUCUCAAGAGGCUACAUGGUGAUUAUUUUAUACAGACAAUAAGAGGCUAUCUCAGUGCCUUCACACAGCCAGCCUGUCCCCGAGUCUCACCAGUGAAAAGAGCCUCCCAGGCUAUCUUACUGCUGGUGAGUUUUGUCUUCACAUACUGGGUGGACUUUACGUUCUCAUUUUCAGGAGGUGUGACAUGGAUAAAUGAUUCUCUGCUAGUGUGGCUCCAGGUUAUUGUGGCCAAUAGCUAUGCCGCAAUUAGUCCUUUGAUGCUAAUUUAUGCUGAUAACCAAAUAUUCAAGACUCUGCAAAUGUUAUGGUUUAAAUAUUUGUCUCCUCCAAAGCUCAUGUUGAAAUUUAAUCGCCAAUGUGGCAGUACUAAGAAGUGA